rnacentral:lncRNA from 1 species
GUACUCGCCAUCAAACAGAUAAAGAAAUAUUCUGUUUCAUAGUCAUAUACAAUUAUCGUCUUCAUCAAAACUUAAUAUUUACUAUUAUCAUGUAGACAAGACAUUACUUACCCGGAUGUACAAUGUUCGAGAUUCGAGAAUGUUGAGGGAUAUUAACUUUUGAUGAAAACAACUAUUGUAUAGCUUGACUGUGCUACAUAUUGAGAGGUAUACUUUUUUUAUACACAAAAGCGCCCCCCUAUUCAAAGCUGCAAUCUUUACAAAAUGCAUAUUCCCAACAUGAUGUCUACCCUUAGUUUGCCAUGAAAAAUGUAUUUUUCAAAAUAGAAAUAAAAAGGGUUAGCUGCCCACAAUGUCUAUUAUAGGAAAUAUUUUUAAAAUAACAAAAUCAAAUAAUUGUUGAAAGUUGAAGGGUUCUACGUUCAAUAGGUGAUAUAACCAUUGUGUAAACAAC